AUGACUUGGUUCAUUUUGAUCUCAACCUCCUCCAAAUUGUUUUCGAAGCUUACAUACCAUAACAAGAAUUAUAUGCAAAAGAAGAGAGAAGAAAGAGUUCGAGGCUUACUUGAUCGGAGUUCAUCUGAUGCGAUCUUGACAAUGUCGAAGAAGCAAAGAAACCAGAGGAGGAGAGGGAGGAGAUGA